AUUGAACGCUGGCGGCAGGCCUAACACAUGCAAGUCGAGCGAGCGGCGGACGGGUGAGUAAUGUAUGGGGAUCUGCCCGAUAGAGGGGGAUAACUACUGGAAACGGUAGCUAAUACCGCAUACCAUCAGAUGAACCCAUAUGGGAUUAGCUUGUAGGUGAGGUAACGGCUCACCUAGGCGACGAUCCCUAGCUGGUCUGAGAGGAUGAUCAGCCACACUGGGACUGAGACACGGUCCAGACGCCUACGGGAGGCAGCAGUGGGGAAUAUUGCACAAUGGGCGCAAGCCUGAUGCAGCCAGGCCGCGUGUAUGAAGAAGGCCUUCGGGUUGUAAAGUACUUUCAGCGAGGAGGCGUUACUCGCAGAAGAAGCACCGGCUAACUCCGUGCCAGCCGCCGCGGUAAUUC
rnacentral:rRNA from 1 species